rfam:Dethiosulfovibrio peptidovorans DSM 11002 ctg1, whole genome shotgun sequence.
UGAGGAGGCCGACGAACCCGUAUUUUCGACCUGCCGUCGUGUAAAAUGGAUGGGGCGACAGGACGUCGCCCCAAGCCGAGGGGGCACAGGACGUGCCCUCCGAGGCGGUCCGUUCGGAACAGGCAGGUCGAAAAUACGCUCGGGCGAGACAG